ensembl:misc_RNA 7SK 7SK RNA
GGAUAUGAGGGCUACCUGGCUGCUACAUCUUUCACCUCGUUGGUCACCAGGUUUGAUUUGGUUAAUCUGCCUAACUAGGUGGGUGCCCUCUUCUAUCCUCACUGUUUCACGUGUGUCCCUCCCAAAGCUGUGGACUCAGUUGAAGAGUAUGACUUUCCCUGAGGACUGUUCUUCGGUCAGGGGUAUAUGAGUAGCUGCACUCCCUUGCUAGAUCCUCCAGAUAAGAUCUCAAGGUCCUUUUGUAGGAGAACAUAGGGCAGUCAAGAUUGCAAGACUCCAAACAGAUCCAAAUGAGGUGCUGCAAGUGACAGCAGGGGGAAAAAAUAUCACAAUAAUACUUCCUUAU